GACGAACGCUGGCGGCGUGCUUAACACAUGCAAGUCACGGGGGGCCCGCAAGGGUCAACCGGCGAACGGGUGCGUAACACGUGAGCGACCUGCCCAAUUGCGGGGGAUAGCCGGCCCAACGGCCGGGUAAUACCGCAUACGCUUCCCUGGGGGCAUUCUUGGGGAAGGAAACCUACGGGGCGAUUGGAGGGGCUCGCGGCCUAUCAGCUAGUUGGCGAGGUAACGGCUCACCAAGGCGAUGACGGGUAGCUGGUCUGAGAGGAUGGCCAGCCACAUUGGGACUGAGAGACGGCCCAGACUCCUACGGGAGGCAGCAGUGGGGAAUCUUGCGCAAUGGCCGAAAGGCUGACGCAGCGACGCCGCGUGGAGGAUGACGCCCUUCGGGU
rnacentral:rRNA from 1 species